rnacentral:rRNA from 1 species
GAUGAACGCUGGCGGCGUGCCUAAUACAUGCAAGUCGAGCGAACAGACGAGGAGCUUGCUCCUCUGACGUUAGCGGCGGACGGGUGAGUAACACGUGGAUAACCUACCUAUAAGACUGGGAUAACUUCGGGAAACCGGAGCUAAUACCGGAUAAUAUAUUGAACCGCAUGGUUCAAUAGUGAAAGACGGUUUUGCUGUCACUUAUAGAUGGAUCCGCGCCGCAUUAGCUAGUUGGUAAGGUAACGGCUUACCAAGGCAACGAUGCGUAGCCGACCUGAGAGGGUGAUCGGCCACACUUGGACUGAGACACGGUCCAGACUCCUACGGGAGGCAGCAGGAGGGAAUCUUCCGCAAUGGGCGAAAACCUGACGGAGCAACGCCGCGUUAGUGAUGAAGCUCUUCGGAUCGUAAAACUCUGUUAUUAGGGAAGAACAAAAGUGUAAGUAACGAUGCACUUCUUGACGGUACCUAAGCAGAAAGCCACGGCUAACUACGUG